GUGGAUCGAGUACUUGAUUUCUUCAAAGGAUGCAUUCAGCUUGCUAAGGAGAUAGGAAUGUCACGGUUUUCAUGUUGUAGAAGCAAGAAUGUUCUGGGCUGGCUGAAUGAACUAGGUGGCCUAAAAUCAAGCAUAGCACCGGACUCAAAACACCCUGAUGGAACUCCUUAGAAAAGGAUUUACAAGAACCUGAGAUGAAGUGGCACUGUGUGUUUUUUAGGAUAUCUUCCAACCCUACCCAUGCGAAGGCCAUUAGCUGAAGAGCAUCUGCCCUGUAGUAUUCUUGUGUAGAAGUUAGAAAAAUAAACAUUUGAAGGUUGCUUAUUACAUUUGAAAGAA